GGAAGAGCUUGUGGGUUCAAAGCACUGGAGCUAAGCCAACCAACACUUCUCAGGUGGACAGUCAGAGGACAGCCAGAAGUGAAUCACUACGAGAAAACAGAUAAGCCUUUCCAAAACAUGCUUGAACCUGUAUGCUACUCCUUGGCGGCAGUUGAUGAUUUAAGCAAGAGUGUCUCCGGGAGCACAUGAUUACUUACAGAAAAUGCAUGCCAGUCAACUGUGAGUAACCCAGGGCUUUUUCUGGGUUCUGCUGGAAGGAUGUGCAGGGGGGUGGGGAGGAGGG
rnacentral:lncRNA from 1 species